UACGAAGGGGGCUAGCGUUGCUCGGAAUCACUGGGCGUAAAGCGCACGUAGGCGGAUCUUUAAGUCAGGGGUGAAAUCCCAAGGCUCAACCUUGGAACUGCCUUUGAUACUGGGGAUCUCGAGUCCGGAAGAGGUUGGUGGAACUGCGAGUGUAGAGGUGAAAUUCGUAGAUGUUCGCAAGAACACCAGUGGCGAAGGCGGCCAACUGGUCCGGUACUGACGCUGAGGUGCGAAAGCGUGGGGAGCAAACAGG
rnacentral:rRNA from 1 species